rnacentral:rRNA from 1 species
GACGAACGCUGGCGGCGUGCUUAACACAUGCAAGUCGAACGGAAAGGCCCUGCUUUUGUGGGGUGCUCGAGUGGCGAACGGGUGAGUAACACGUGAGUAACCUGCCCUUGACUUUGGGAUAACUUCAGGAAACUGGGGCUAAUACCGGAUAGGAGCUCCUGCUGCAUGGUGGGGGUUGGAAAGUUUCGGCGGUUGGGGAUGGACUCGCGGCUUAUCAGCUUGUUGGUGGGGUAGUGGCUUACCAAGGCUUUGGCGGGUAGCCGGCCUGAGAGGGUGACCGGCCACAUUGGGACUGAGAUACGGCCCAGACUCCUACGGGAGGCAGCAGUGGGGAAUAUUGCACAAUGGGCGGACGCCUGAUGCAGCAACGCCGCGUGCGGGAUGACGGCCUUCGGGUUGUAAACCGCUUUCGCCUGUGACGAAGCGUGAGUGACGGUAAUGGGUAAAGAAGCACCGGCUAACUACGUG